UCCGAGAAAUCAAAACUUAGAAUCGAGUCGCGAAAAUGGAGAAGGAGAAGAAGAAGAGUGAUGAUGUCAACUCUAAAUGGGACGCGUGUCUCGAUCUCACCGCUCGUCGCGUAGUCUACUCCUCCCUCGGCGGCGCGUUCGCCGGUCUUCUGUUCUUCAGGAGUCCCGUGACAAGAUGGGCGUCGAUUGCGUUUGGUGCUGGACUCGGUAUUGGAUCUGCGUACACCGAUUGUUCUCGUGCCUUUGAUGCAUCAUCGUCGUCUUCAACUUCCGCCGCUUUGGUAGCUCCCAUCAGUACAGAGACUUCGUCUUAUUCUGUAUCUCAGGAUAAACAUUGGAAGUUAAAAAUGGUGAUGAUGUUAUCAUAGUAGUUUAAAAGAAUUAAUGAUUCAGGUAGCUGAUAAGAAUCCAUAAUCGAAACAAAUAGUCUUAAGAGUUUCAAGAGAUCCAUAACGGCUUCAGGCAGAGGAAGAGUAAGAGAACGAGGAAUCUUGAGGAUGAACCCAAACAUUGAUGAUGGGUAUUUACUACAAGAGUUGUUGUUAUAUACUGGUUUUUGAGAUAAUAUGCAAUUGUUAACCUUUUGCUUUUCAGUGGUUUUGUACACAUUGGCUGAUGCCAAAAGAUGUUUAACGACCAACUCAUUCCGACUUAUUUUUGGGAAAGAAAAAAAAAAUCAUACGUUUUUUUAGAAAUUC